GCGCGAAAACUUUACAAUGCUGGCAACAGCGAUAAGGGAACCUCGAGUGCCAGGUUACAAAUCUGGCUGUCGAGAUGCCUAAAAAGCAUUUCAUAGCAAGGGCCGGGCAAGACCGGUGCCAGCCGCCGCGGUAACACCGGCGGCUCGAGUGGUAACCGUUAUUCUUGGGUCUAAAGGGUCUGUAGCCGGCCGGCUAAGUCUCUUGAGAAAUCUGGCAGCUUAACGGUCAGGCUUUCAGGAGAUACUGUCUGGCUCGAGGCCGGGAGAGGUGAGAGGUACGUCAGGGGUAGGGGUGAAAUCUU
rnacentral:rRNA from 1 species